GGAGCUGGCGGCCGCGGGCGCCGCCGCCUCCUCCUCCAUGGCUGUUUACCCGGCUGCAUUGUGGGAGUUUGACCUCCGCCGCCGCCAACCGCCGCCUCAGCUUGCGCCGCCGCCGCCGCCGUGCACGCCAUGGGAGCCGUGACUGACGACGAAGUCAUACGGAAGCGUCUCCUCAUUGAUGGAGAUGGUGCUGGAGAUGAGAAGGAUAUAGCCAGUACCAGCGUAUGCUGAGCACACUGUCUCAAAGUGAAUUUUCAAUGGGAAAAACUUUACUAGUAUAUGAUAUGAAUCUCAGAGAAAUGGAAAAUUAUGAAAAAAUUUACAAGGAAAUAGAAUGUAGCAUUGCUGGAGCACAUGAAAAAAUUGCUGAGUGCAAAAAGCAAAUUCUUCAAGCAAAACGAAUACGAAAAAAUCGCCAAGAAUAUGAUGCUUUGGCAAAAGUGAUCCAGCAUCAUCCAGACAGGCAUGAGACAUUAAAGGAACUAGAAGCUCUGGGAAAAGAAUUAGAGCAUCUUUCACAUAUUAAAGAAAGUGUCGAAGAUAAGCUGGAAUUGAGACGGAAACAGUUUCACGUUCUUCUUAGUACCAUCCAUGAACUUCAGCAAACAUUGGAAAAUGAUGAAAAACUCUCAGAGGUAGAAGAAGCUCAGGAUGAAAGCAUGGAAACAGACCCUAAGCCAUAGAUAGGCUAAUUGCCCACCAUUCCCAGGAAUAUUGAAAUAGCUGCAUGAACAUAAUGUGUUUAAAAUGGGUUGUGCUCUUGAGAUAUUUAAAAUUUUGGCAGUACAAUACUCUGUUUUUAAAUAUGAAUGUACAUUUCAUUCAUAUUUCCUCACACAAAGGAAAAUGACUUUAGUAUAGAUUUUUUUAUUAAAAGGCAUUUUUUAUUCUUAAAAGGUAGGAAGCAACAUCUAAAUAUGCUUAAUAAAAUGCUUUUAAGCUGGAAAA